CAGCAGCCACGGGAAUACGUAGGGUGCGAGCGUUAAUCGGAAUUACUGGGCGUAAAGCGUGCGCAGGCGGUUAUAUAAGACAGAUGUGAAAUCCCCGGGCUCAACCUGGGACCUGCAUUUGUGACUGUAUAGCUAGAGUACGGUAGAGGGGGAUGGAAUUCCGCGUGUAGCAGUGAAAUGCGUAGAUAUGCGGAGGAACACCGAUGGCGAAGGCAAUCCCCUGGACCUGUACUGACGCUCAUGCACGAAAGCGUGGGGAGCAAACAGGAUUAGAUACCCCAGUAGUCCCUGUCUCUUAUAA
rnacentral:rRNA from 1 species